CCUACGGGAGGCAGCAGUGGGGAAUAUUGGACAAUGGGCGCAAGCCUGAUCCAGCCAUGCCGCGUGUGUGAAGAAGGCCUUCGGGUUGUAAAGCACUUUAAGCGAGGAGGAAGGUCUUUGAACUAAUAUUUCAAAGAAUUGACGUUACUCGCAGAAUAAGCACCGGCUAACUCUGUGCCAGCAGCCGCGGUAAUACAGAGGGUGCAAGCGUUAAUCGGAAUUACUGGGCGUAAAGCGACGCGUAGGCGGUAUGUUAAGUCGGAUGUGAAAUCCCUGGGCUCAACCUAGGCAUUGCAUCCGAUACUGGCACACUAGAGUGUGGGAGAGGAAGGUAGAAUUCCAGGUGUAGCGGUGAAAUGCGUAGAGAUCUGGAGGAAUACCGAUGGCGAAGGCAGCCUUCUGGCCUAACACUGACGCUGAGGUGCGAAAGCAUGGGGAGCAAACAGGAUUAGAUACCCUGGUAGUCCAUGCCGUAAACGAUGUCAACUAGCCGUUGGGCUCCUUGAGGGCUUAGUGGCGCGAGCACGACGAGUAAGUUAGACCGCCCGUCGGGAGGUACGGUCGCGACGAACGUAAAACGUUAAAAGUAAGUAGUUAGGACGCGAGGAGACGCGACGACGGACGACGACGGAGGGAGGAGG
rnacentral:rRNA from 1 species